rnacentral:rRNA from 1 species
GACGAACGCUGGCGGCGUGCUUAACACAUGCAAGUCGAACGGAAAGGCCUCUUUCGGGGGGUACUCGAGUGGCGAACGGGUGAGUAACUCGUGAGUAACCUGCCCUUGACUUUGGGAUAACUUCAGGAAACUGGGGCUAAUACCGGAUAGGAGCUCCUGCUGCAUGGUGGGGGUUGGAAAGUUUCGGCGGUUGGGGAUGGACUCGCGGCUUAUCAGCUUGUUGGUGGGGUAGUGGCUUACCAAGGCUUUGACGGGUAGCCGGCCUGAGAGGGUGACCGGCCACAUUGGGACUGAGAUACGGCCCAGACUCCUACGGGAGGCAGCAGUGGGGAAUAUUGCACAAUGGGUGGAAGCCUGAUGCAGCAACGCCGUGUGCGGGAUGACGGCCUUCGGGUUGUAAACCGCUUUCGCUCAUGACGAAGCUUUGUGUGACGGUAGUGGGUAAAGAAGCACCGGCUAACUACGUG